AUGACGAUUAUCAGCUGGAACUGCCGGGGCCUUGGGCAACCCCGGACAGUUCAGGAGCUUGUGUGCUUGGUGCGCACAUACCGCCCGUCUUUGGUGUUUGUCUCGGAAACUAGGAAAAGCGAGGACUAUGUUAAUAAGUUGCGUAGGAGACUAGGUCUCAAGCAUUGCAUCUCCCAUGUGGGUAAAGGCAAAGGUGCAGGUAUCGCUCUCUUCUAUGAUGAGCAUGUUGAAAUAAAAAGACUCGAUGUUGGCCCGCGUUAUAUUGAUGUGUUGAUC
rnacentral:rRNA from 1 species